rnacentral:misc_RNA from 1 species
UCCGAUUUGUCACCGGCAGUCUCCUAUGAGUCCCCGUCUUUCACGCUGGCAACAUAGGACAGGGGUUGCGCUCGUUGCGGGAGAAGGACGAUCUCUCGUCCGGGCUUCCCCAUGUCAAGCCUUGGUAAGGUUCUUCGCGUUGCGUCGAAUUAAACCACAUCAUCCACCGCUUGUGCGGGCCCCCGUCAAUUCCUUUGAGUUUCAGCCUUGCGGCCGUACUCCCCAGGCGGGGCACUUACUGCGUUAGCGACGGCACCGGGAGGGUCGCUCCCCCCGACGCCUAGUGCCCAUCGUUUACGGCGUGGACUAC